AGGCGGUGGAGGCGCAGGGCCUGCUCCCGCUGGUGCCAUGGCCAAGACCGUGGCCUAUUUCUACGACCCUGACGUGCGCAACUUCCACUAUGGAGCUGGACACCCUAUGAGGCCCCAUCGCCUGGCAUUGACCCAUAGCCUGGUCCUGCAUUACGGUCUCUAUAAGACGAUCCCCAGUGUUUUCCAGGCUCUUUGAGUUCUGCUCGCGUUACACGGGCACAUCUCUGCAAGGAGAAACCCAGCUGAAAAACAAGAUCUGUGAUAUUGCCAUUAACUGGGCUGGUGGUCUGCACCGUGCCAAGAAGUUUGAGGUACCACCCUCGGGUGCUUUACGUUGAUAUUGACAUCCACCAUGGUGACGGGGUUCAGGAAGCUUUCUACCUCACUGACCAGGUCAUAACGGUGUUCUUCCACAAAUAGGGAAAUUACUUCUUCCCUGGCACAGGUGACAUGUAUGAAGUCAGGGCAGAGAGUGGCCACUACUACUGUCCGAAUGUGCCCCUGCGGGAUGGCAUUGAUGACCAGAGUUACAAAUACCUUUUCCAGCCAGUUGUCAACCAGGUAGUGGACUUCUACCAACCCACAUGCAUGGUGCUCCAGUGUGGAGCUGACUCUCUGGGCUGUGAUCGAUUGGGCUGCUUUAACCUCAGCAUCCGAGGGCAUGGGGAAUGUGUAGAAUAUGUCAAGAGCUUCAAUAUCCCUCUGCUGGUGCUGGGUGGUGGUGGUUAUACUGUCCGAAAUGUUGCCCGCUGCUGGACAUAUGAGACAUUGCUGCUGGUAGAAGAGGCCAUUAGUGAGGAGCUUCCCUAUAGUGAAUACUUCGAGUACUUUGCCCCAGACUUCACACUUCAUCCAGAUGUCAGCACCCGCAUCGAGAAUCAGAACUCACGCCAGUAUCUGGACCAGAUCCGCCAGACAAUCUUUGAAAACCUGAAGAUGCUGAACCAUGCACCUAGUGUCCAGAUUCAUGACAUGCCUGCAGACCUCCUGACCUAUGACAGGACUGAUGAGGCUAAUACAGAGGACAGGGGUCCUGAGGAGAACUAGAGCAGCCCAGGGGCACCCAAUGAGUUCUGUGAUGGAGACCAUGACAAUGACAAGGAAAACGAUGUGGAGAUUUAAGUGGCUUGGGAUACUGUGUCCCAAGGAAUUUCUUUUCACCUCUUGGUUGGACUGGAGGGAAAAGGAGUGGCUCCUGGAGUCCUGGAGUGGUCACCCCAGGGCUUGUGCUGACUCUGGGAAAGAGUCUGGAGACCACAUUUGGUUCUCGAACCAUCCACCCCCUUUUCCUCUCUCUCCCAAGGCCUGACAAUGGUACCUAUUAGGGAUGAGAUACGGACAAGGAUAGCUAUAUGGGACAUUAUUGUCAGUGGGCCCUGGAGGUCAGUCCCUAGCCCCCCUUGUCCCUUAUUUCUUCUCUGCUUCACUCCAACCCAGAGAUUUUGAGGGACAAAUGGGUAGA